CGGAAGCGAUGUCUAUCUCGCCCCAUCUGGCCACAUAACAGCAACAGAACCAACUCCUCGUAACUUAACGGGUCAAGAGGCUAAGAGUUUACUGCGUUGGAACGAAAAUGAAAUGACCUCUUCUGUUUUCCUUACAUCUGCAACCCCUCAGGUUCCAGAUGCUGUGGUCGACAGUUGGGAAGUGAAGAAGAAGAUAGUAAUUAAGAUGGCGGGAGUGAGCAUGAGUUUGAAUAUCCAUCGCGAAAGACUUGUGUUGUUCAUGUUUAAAACACAACAGGGGUUCUGUAACGGGAAUGCGGAUUCUCUUCACCCUUCAAGUUGUAACAGACCAGA